rnacentral:rRNA from 1 species
GACGAACGCUGGCGGCGUGCUUAACUCAUUCAAUUCGAACGUAUAGGCCCUUCUUUUGUGGUGUGCUCUAGUCGCUAACGCGUGAGUAACACUUGCUUAACCUGCCCUUGACUUUUGUAUAACUUCAUGAAACUGGGGCUAAUACCUGAUAUUAUCUCCUGCUUCAUUGUGGGUUUUGGCAUGUUUCGUCGGUUGGUGAUGGACUCCCGGCUUAUCAGCUUGUUGGUUGGUUAUUGGCUUACCAAGGCUUUGACGGGUAGCCGGCCUGAGAGGGUGACCGGAAACAUUGGGAAUGAGAGACGGACGAGACUACUAAGGGAGGCAGCAGUGGGGAAUAUAGGAAAAUGGGAGGAAGCCUGAUGCAGGAAGGCAGCGUGCGGGAUGACGGACUUGGGGUUGUAAAACGCUUUCGCCUGUGACGAAGCGUGAGUGACGGUAAUGGGUAAAGAAGCACCGGAUAAAUACGUG